rnacentral:lncRNA from 1 species
GAAAACUUCCAUGACUAAUCAGGAAGACCGCCAAGGAGAAAGAAGUUUCCCGAUGGUUCCAUCAAGGCCCAAGGAAGAGUGUGCUUUGACUCUAAGAAUUGGCCGUUCCCAUCCCUUGGCAGGGAGACCGUCUGAACAGAGGUGGAUAACAAGGUGUGGCAGCUUGAGGCCACUGGUCACUGGGAUCUGGGAACUCCGCUCUGACUCCGAGUCAGCUGACUGUGUAUCGGCUCUCCCUGGAGAGAGGAUAGAGGCCAGAUCCACUCCUCAUUAUAAUGCUGCCAGAUGAGACUCACUCUGAGGGAGCAGCUGGGAGGACUGGAAUUCAGGAACCUUCUGGCCCAGGGGAUCUUGACCUGGACAUGCCCAGACCACCCGCAAACCAGUCUCUGGGGGUGGGGUCAGUUUUUUUUUUAAAGCUCCACAGGUGAGGUGAAUGAGAACCACAGACCUAGUCUCACCCCCUCCUUCUGUAAAGUGAGAACACCUCGGCCCAGAGAGGAGAAGGCUCUUGGCUGAGGUCACCCAGCUAGUUAGCAGGGAAAUUCUGACUAGACUGUGAAAGCCUUAAAGACUAAAGCCCUGUACUUUCAGUUUCGAAGUUUCAAAUGAACUCUUCCCUGCUCCUGUGGUCUGACAGCGCAGGCAGGCCUCCAAGAGAC